GGGGAUAUAGCUCAGCUGGGAGAGCGCGUGAAUGGCAUUCACGAGGUCAGGGGUUCGAUCCCCCUUAUCUCCACCA
rnacentral:tRNA from 1 species